rnacentral:tRNA from 1 species
UAGAGCACGACCUUGCCAAGGUCGGGGUCGCGAGUUCGAGUCUCGUUUCCCGCUCCA